rnacentral:tRNA from 1 species
GCUGUUGUAGCUCAGCUGGUAGAGCACGUCCUUGGUAAGGACGAGGUCAUGAGUUCGAAUCUCAUCAACAGCU